AAUUGCAGGGCCUGAGAUGGGCAACCCAGUGGACAAAUACUUUAAGAGGAUGAAUGCUUCACAGUGUGCUCUGCAAGUGCUGUUGACUCAACGCUGGUUCAGGGAACUUGAUGAAUGGUUGGAUUCUCAGGGAUCAGCUUGCGAUGCAUGCUGCAAAUCACUACCUUACUGGUGUCCAGCAUCAGCUCUGUGUUUUGAUAUUA